GACGAACGCUGGCGGCGUGCCUAAUACAUGCAAGUAGAACGCACAGUUUAUACCGUAGCUUGCUACACCAUAAGCUGUGAGUUGCGAACGGGGUAGUAACCCGUAGGUAACCUGCCUGGUAGCGGGGGAUAACUAUGGGAAACGAUAGCUAAUACCUCAUGAUAUUGAGUAUUGCAUGAUAAUUUAUUGAAGGUUGCGAUUGCAUCACUACUAGAUGGCCCGGCGUUGGAUUAGCAAGUAGGUGAGGUAUCGGCGCACCUAGGCGAGGAGACAUAGCCCCAAUGCGAGGGUGGUCGGCCGGCCUGGGAGUGAGACACGGCCCAGACGGCUUCGGGAGGCAGCAGUAGGGAAUCUUGGGCAAUGGGCGAAAGUCUGAGCGAGCAACGCCGAGUGAGUGAAGAAGGUUUUCGGAUCGUAAAGCUCUGUUGUCAGGGAAGAACGGGUGUGAGAGUGGAAAGUUCCCACUGUGACGGUAUCUUAUCAGAAAGGGACGGCUAACUACGUG
rnacentral:rRNA from 1 species